GACGAACGCUGGCGGCGCGCCUAACACAUGCAAGUCGAACGAGAGAUGAGGAGCUUGCUCUUCAAAUCGAGUGGCGAACGGGUGAGUAACGCGUGAGGAACCUGCCUCAAAGAGGGGGACAACAGUUGGAAACGACUGCUAAUACCGCAUAAGCCCACGGCUCGGCAUCGAGCAGAGGGAAAAGGAGUGAUCCGCUUUGAGAUGGCCUCGCGUCCGAUUAGCUAGUUGGUGAGGUAACGGCCCACCAAGGCGACGAUCGGUAGCCGGACUGAGAGGUUGAACUGCCACAUUGGGACUGAGACACGGCCCAGACUCCUACGGGAGGCAGCAGUGGGGAAUAUUGCACAAUGGGGGAAACCCUGAUGCAGCGACGCCGCGUGGAGGAAGAAGGUCUUCGGAUUGUAAACUCCUGUUGUUGAGGAAGAUAAUGACGGUACUCAACAAGGAAGUGACGG
rnacentral:rRNA from 1 species